AAAAAUUAUAAGUCCUGUCCUGUUCCUAAGUACUAGUGCCGCAGGAGUGAUUAGGUUGCAUGAGACAUUACCGUAUCUCCUGCUGCUCAAGUGCUUAUCAACGGGUCGGGACGCGUGUCAA
rnacentral:pre_miRNA from 15 species